GAUGAACGCUGGCGGCGUGCUUAAUACAUGCAAGUCGAACGAAGACAGUAGCAAUAUUGUCUGAGUGGCGAACGGGUGAGUAACGCGUUGGUGACCUGCCCCGAAGAGAGGGAUAACAGUCCGAAAGGAUUGCUAAUACCCCAUGUGGUCGUUUGGAUUAGAUGCCUUAUGACUAAACGGAUUUAUUCGCUUCGGGAGGGGCCUGCGUCCCAUCAGCUAGUUGGUAGGGUAAUGGCGUAACAAGGCGAUGACGGGUAGGGGACCUGAGAGGGUGGCCCCCCACAAUGGAACUGAAACACGGUCCAUACACCUACGGGUGGCAGCAGUAGGGAAUAUUGGUUAAUCUGGGAAACCGGGAACCAGCAACGCCGCGUGCACGAUGAAGGCCUUCGGGUUGUAAAGUGCUUUUUGAAAGGAUGAGGAAGGACAGUACUUUCAGAAUAAGCUUCGGCUAACUACGUGCCAGCAGCCGCAGUAAGAC
rnacentral:rRNA from 1 species